rnacentral:lncRNA from 1 species
UUCCAUUUCUAAUCAGGGGCGCAUCAAGUGGCAAUUCAGACGAAUCUUGAUUGAAAUGAGAAUUCAUCUAAAGUUCUAAACAUAUACCUACCUACCUUAUCAAUAAUACGGUCUGUUGAUUGGAAGGGGAAAGGUUUUGUAAACAGUUCGUCUUACGCCCACAUUUGAAGAAGUGACAAUGGAUAUCAAAAAUUAAAAUUUGUUAUUGGAUAUUCAAAAAGGCAGAUGGCACAUGACUCGUCCAAUUUUCCAUAUUUGAAGUGUCAAAUGGCGUUCCGUACUGAGGUUUCUAUUAUGUAUAUUUUUUGUUGUUACAGUUGAUGUCGAUCGAAAGGCGUUUUACAGUUGCUUCUCCUUGAAUUGGUUGCAUCUCCUUGAAUUGGUUGCAUCUAGACAUUUUCAAUUUGGAUCUGUUCCCUGUCUAUAAAAAUGUAUUGAUCAGAAAAUAUUUUAUAUUGAUAGUGUCUUCUUGAGAGGGCUCGAGAUGUACUGAAUUUCUACCUCUCAAUUGCCGAAGAGCGAGGAGAUUCAAUAACCAGAAUGAAGCACAUAAACAUCCCUAAAAUAGGAUUGCAACAUUAAGUGCCAACUGCAUGUCAUUUCAAAUUCAGAACAACCAGAAUUAAAAAACAAAAACAAAAAAACAUUGGAUAAAACAGGGAUCAUAAGGUGACAGGACAAGGGUUACUUUCAUGAAUUUAAGUGGAUGCAGAGUGAAGAAAAAGCUGACAGCCUAGACAGCUUAUUUGCACAGUUGCAAAUGAUCUUUUUUUUUAAAUUUUUUUUAUCAAUCUCACACUCACUCUCCUAAGUUUUUUUAAAUUGCAGGUUGAACAAACUUACAACUCUGACUUGAAGGUUUGCUGAUAUUUGACAACAUUGUUGGCUUUUCAAUGUAGAUGAUAUGAAUCAAAGUUAAAUUUACACAAACAAGACAUUGGCAAUGACUAUUCAUACAUUAACUGCAGUCACAGACUUAUUGUCAGUACUAGAAACGAAUUCCAUUCAUACCGCUGCCGUUCCAAUGAUGAAUGAAACCAAUGAUACGUUCGUACUCGAGGAACUUAUGUCUCAUCGUAUCUUUCAAGGUAACGUCAGAUCAUUUGAACCGUGGAAUUGAAUUUACUCAAAGGGAAGAGAACCCAGAACCCAAACGGUCGAUGCAUUGAAAAUGUCGGACCCCUGUUGAUGAAGUUUCAACAGCACUCUUCCACAAGACGCACGCGAAGCAAACGAUAGCGAAAGAGAUAUGGACUUGAAUUUGUUGUUUACAACCCAUGGCUUUCCCGCAUUCCAGGAUUAGUCUUAUACACCUUCUGCACUUCUACAGAGCGUUCGGGAACGAAAUUAGUUGUGGAUGGGUUUGCUGUUGACAAGCAAGGGAAGGAUUUUUUACCAAAGUAGACAGGAUAUUUAUUCUAAAUCCCACAAUGUCCUGGUAAUAAAUUACUACAAAUCAUACUGAAUUAGAAUAGGAUUUUGACUGAAAGUGGAUGCCAAAACAAUGGAUGAUAAUUGGAAGCGCGAUUGGAAAUAUCUAUGAUUUAUUAACGUUGUCUCAUGUUACGGUAUUUUAUUAAAGACAAAUUUAAGUGCA